rnacentral:tRNA from 1 species
GGGCGGUUAGCUCAGUGGGAGAGCACUGCCUUCACACGGCAGGGGUCACAGGUUCAAAUCCUGUACCGCCCACCA